UGCGAGCGUGACGGCGCGAGCAGGUGCGAAAGCAGGUCAUAGUGAUCCGGUGGUUCUGAAUGGAAGGGCCAUCGCUCAACGGAUAAAAGGUACUCCGGGGAUAACAGGCUGAUACCGCCCAAGAGUUCAUAUCGACGGCGGUGUUUGGCACCUCGAUGUCGGCUCAUCACAUCCUGGGGCUGAAGUAGGUCCCAAGGGUAUGGCUGUUCGCCAUUUAAAGUGGUACGCGAGCUGGGUUUAGAACGUCGUGAGACAGUUCGGUCCCUAUCUGCCGUGGGCGCUGGAGAACUGAGGGGGGCUGCUCCUAGUACGAGAGGACCGGAGUGGACGCAUCACUGGUGUUCGGGUUGUCAUGCCAAUGGCACUGCCCGGUAGCUAAAUGCGGAAGAGAUAAGUGCUGAAAGCAUCUAAGCACGAAACUUGCCCCG
rnacentral:rRNA from 1 species